rnacentral:tRNA from 1 species
GGUGAGAUGGCUCAGUGGGUAAGAGCACCCGACUGUUCUUCUGAAGGUCCUGAGUUCAAUUCCCAGCAACCA